rnacentral:rRNA from 1 species
AAGGAUCAUUAAUGAAUUCACUAUGGAGUUGUUGCUGGCCUCUAGGGGCAUGUGCACGCUUCACUAGUCUUUCAACCACCUGUGAACUUUUGAUAGAUCUGUGAAGUCGUCUUUCAAGUCGUUAGACUUGGUUUGCUGGGAUGUAAACGUCUCGGUGUGACUACGCAGUCUAUUUACUUAUAACACCCCAAAUGUAUGUCUACGAAUGUCAUUUAAAGGGCCUUGUGCCUAUAAACCAUAAUACAACUUUCAACAACGGAUCUCUUGGCUCUCGCAUCGAUGAAGAACGCAGCGAAAUGCGAUAAGUAAUGUGAAUUGCAGAAUUCAGUGAAUCAUCGAAUCUUUGAACGCACCUUGCGCCCCUUGGUAUUCCGAGGGGCAUGCCUGUUUGAGUGUCAUUAAAUUCUCAAACUCACUCUGGUUUUUCCAAUUGUGAUGUUUGGAUUGUUGGGGGCUGCUGGCCUUGACAGGUCGGCUCCUCUUAAAUGCAUUAGCAGGACUUCUCAUUGCCUCUGCGCAUGAUGUGAUAAUUAUCACUCAUCAAUAGCACGCAUGAAUAGAGUCUGGCUCUCUAACCGUCCGCAAGGACAAUUUGACAAUUUGACCUCAAAUCAGGUAGGACUACCCGCUGAACUUAA